AGUCACAAGCUUGAGGUCAUUAACAGAAGCACUCAUGGUGCGACUCUGUCGGAUUCUAAUGAAUCUGUGAAUUCUGCU
rnacentral:ribozyme from 1 species